UUAUAGUGCUAGGGGAGCCUUUGGCUGAGAUUUGAUUAUUUCAUAAACCCUCGGAACCUGAUCCAGUUAAUUCUGGCGUAGGAAAGUAUAACCUUUCAAUA
rnacentral:ncRNA from 1 species